GGAUUAGAUACCCUGGUAGUCCACGCCGUAAACGAUGAGAACUAGACGUUGGAUAUUUAUAUCUAGUGUCGCAGCUAACGCAUUAAGUUCUCCGCCUGGGGAGUACGGCCGCAAGGUUGAAACUCAAAGUAAUUGACGGGGGCCCGCACAAGCGGUGGAGCAUGUGGUUUAAUUCGAUGCAACGCGAAGAACCUUACCAGGGCUUGACAUCAUCAGAACUUGUUAGAGAUAACUCGGUGCCUUCGGGAACUGAUAGACAGGUGCUGCAUGGCUGUCGUCAGCUCGUGCCG
rnacentral:rRNA from 1 species